UCCUUUGGGUGGUCUGGUGCCUUCGAUUCCACACACGUGACCUCAUUUUGGGAGCUCUGGAGGUGGGCGACGGCGGCGGCGGCGGUGACCACCAUGGAGUUCCUGAUGCAGCCUAUCCGCGGAUCCUGUUUGCUUGUAGAGGUGGGUGAGAGUUUGGUGGCGGCGCCGGUGGUGGCGGAGCCGUCUGUGGUGGACUGGUGGAUAUGGUGGUGGAGCAUCAGGUGGCGUUGCAGGAGACGGUGGAACACGGGAUGCCGGCGGAGGAGCGUCCGGUUGGCACAGCGGACGCACAGAUCUUGGCAGCCACUGAAGCGGCGGCAGAGAGGAGAGAUAGCUCGCCACCGAGCUCGUAGCUGUCAACUGGGAAGAUGAACCCCCGUGCGCCUGGAUGGAAUAAGAGGCUGAAAAACCUUCCAUUGGAACAAGAAAACAUGGUUGCAGUUGCUUUGUGUUAUUGUUGCUGCUGCAGGCUACAGAUUUGCCUGUGGGUUAAACCAAAUGGUUCUUCAAUCCUGGGUAUUUAAGUUUAUAGAUGGUCGUGUCGAAGGCAAUGACCGUGGCCCAGAAUCGUUUUGCUCCAUCUGAUCAAUGGCCCGGAUAAGUCGCUUUCCGUGAAGGGCGGCAAUGCCGAUAUCAAUGCAGACCCAUAGUCAUUCCCUAAAAAAAAUGCAGACCCAUAGUCUUCUUCCCAACCGCUGCCGCCAUUUCUGCUACGUGACGAGGGAGAGAGGGAAGAAGUGGAAGAACAGGCGAGCGCCACUCAAAUGGAGUUUCUCAUGCAGCCAAUAGGUGAUCCACGUUGAGUUAGGAGGUCGAAGAGAGUCUUCUGACGGAAGCCUCGCUGGCGGACGGCAUCAGGCGAACGCUGGUGGAGGUGCCGUUGCCGGAGGGCACGUAUGUGAGCGUCGAUGGGCGGAUCUGCGUGGCGACUGGACUGGCGACGAUGUCCGGAUAUGGGUGAAUCUGUACUGCGGCUGAAGCGGCAGCAGUGAGAAGAGACAGCUCGCCUCCGACUUCUGAGCUCACCACGGGGAAGAUGAAUCCCCAGGCUCCUGGUUGGAAUAAGAGGUUGAGAAUUGGUGCCGCUGGUCCUAGCAGUCGCGUAAGCACAUUUGAGAAAUGGUGCAGGGUGUCCUACGAGGUAAAAAAUGGACGGGAGGUAAUGAGUUUGAAUACUAAUGCGGGCAGUUUGAACACAAACAUGCCAUCAGUAAAACAAGAAGAAGGUUCUGAAGAUGGUGAUGUUGUGCAAAAGGUUGAGCCGAUAGAUGACGUGCAUCUAGAUGGUUCAGUUUGCUCGGCAACUUGCAGCAGAGCUGGAUAUGGAAUGUGAACAGAUGAAAAAAAAUAUUUUUUUUACUGAUUUCCUACAUGCAGUAGCAACUUAUAAUUGUAAGCUUAUUUUUGUGUUCUUUUUUGCAGUUGGGAUGGAGAUAGCAUCCUGUGCACUGGCUGUGAAUGUCAAUACGGGUUUUGUUCACCGGGUUCACAUCUCUGACUAUGAAAGCAACGACGAAGCUGGUUGAGACCGCCAGAAAGCUGGUUGUUCACAUUUCUGAUGAUCCUGAGCACGCAAAGCUGGUUGAGACCGCCAGAAAGCUAAGGGAGCAAGAGAAGGAAGAUGAAGAUGUCACGAAGAAAUAUCAAGAAAUAUAUGAUAAAAGUAAUGAUCCAAAAGAAGAAGACCGGGAGGUUGCAAUGAUGUAUCAAAUAUGGUGUGAUGUAAAACAUGGUGGCCAUGUGUUGGACAUGAAUGAACUAAGGAAUUUACGUUUUGCUGCAGCAACUGAAGUGGAGAUCGCCAGUGUGACAGCAAACUGAAACCUUACUCAGGAGGUCGAGAACAAAGCCCCGUGGUGGGUGGUUGUAGAGAUGCAGCUGCUCAGGUUGGUCAAAAUGGCAAUGAGAGUUCUCGUUGCUGGCAGGCAAG